CCCUGUUCUCCUAAGUACAGUAAAAACACCAAUUCUGUCUGAUCUCGGAAGCUAAGCAGGGUCAUCCUUGCUUAGAAUUUGAGUGGGAGACUGCCAAUGAAUACCAGCUGCUGUAGGGU
rnacentral:rRNA from 11 species